GACGAACGCUGGCGGCGUGCUUAACACAUGCAAGUCGAACGAGUGGCGAACGGGUGAGUAACACGUGGGUGACCUGCCCUGCACCUCGGGAUAAGCCUGGGAAACUGGGUCUAAUACCGGUUAGUGUGGGAUGGGCCCGCGGCUUAUCAGUUGGUGGGUGGGGUAAUGGCUACCAAGGCGCGACGGGUAGCCGGCCGGAGAGGGUGGACGGCCACAUUGGGACUGAGAAACGGCCCAGACUCAUACGGGAGGCAGCAGGGGGGAAUAUUGCACAAUGGGCGAAAGCCUGAUGCAGCCAUGCCGCGUGUAUGAAGAAGGCCUUAGGGUUGUAAAGUACUUUCAGCGGGGAGGCGUUACCCGAAGAAGAAGCACCGGCUAACUCCGUGCCAGCAGCCGCGGUAAUUC
rnacentral:rRNA from 1 species